UUGAAUGUGAGUUUGAUAAAUGAGUGAGAGACUGUUUAUAUAUCCAAUUAGGAUUGAAUGGAUUAGGGAAUUAUGUUGAAAAAUCAGUUAGGGUGUGUAACUGAAUUUGUGAAUUCGAGGUGGAUUAGUUAUUUUCUAUUAUGGGAUUGUAACUGACUUGUGAAGUUAGUUUGUUUAGUUAUAACUGAUUGGUGAAAUGUAACUGAAAAAUUG
rnacentral:lncRNA from 1 species